AUGGCAUCCUUAGGGUGGUUCUGGUGUGUGCUUGGUGUGUUCUUAGCGUGUGCUUGGUGUGUGCUUAGCGUGUGCUUAGCGUGUGCUUGGCAUGUGCUUGGCGUGUUCAUAGGGUUGUGUCUUCGGGGUGUCCCUGGAGUGUCCCUGUGGUGUCCUUAUGUCCUUAGGGUGGUUUUGGGGAGUGCUUGGCAUGUUCUUAGUAUGUUCUUAGUGUGUCCUUGUUGUGUGCUUAGCAUGUGCUUAACGUGUGCUUAGAAUGUUCUUAGACUGGUGUCGUUGGGGUGUCCUUGGGGUGUCCUUGUGGUGUCCUUACGGCAUCUUUAGCUUGGUUUUGGUGUUCUUAGCGUGUUCUUAGCAUGUGCUUGGCGUGUGGUUGGCGUGUGCUUGGCAUGUUCAUAGGGUGGUGUCGUUGGGGUGUCCCUGGGGUGUCCUUAUGGUGUUCUUAUGGCAUCUUUAGGGUGGUUUUGGUGUUCUUAGCGUGUUCUUAGCAUGUUCUUAGCAUGUGCUUGGUGUGUGCUUGGCAUGUGCUUAGCAUGUGUUUUGAAUGUUCUUAGAGUGGUGUCUUUGGGGUGUCCUUAAAUUGUCCCCAUAGAGUGCUUAGACGGUCCUUAGGAUGGUUUUGAUGUCUUAUUAGCAUGUGCUUAGCAUGUGCUUAGCGUGUUCUUAGCGUGUGCUUAGCAUGUGCUUAGAAUGUUUUUAGGGUGGCGUCGUUGGGGUGUCCCUGGGGUGCCCUUAUGGGGUCCUUAUGGCAUCCUUAGGGUGGUUUUCUGUGUUCUUAGCGUGUGUUUGCCCUGUGCUUAGCAUGUUCUUAGCUUGUGCUUAGCAUGUGCUUGGCAUGUUCUUAGCAUGUGCUUAGCAAGUGUUUGUGUGGUGCCCUUGGGGUGUCCCAGUAGUGUGCGCAGGGAGUCAUUAGGGUGGUUUUGGUGUGUUAUUAGCGUGUGCUUGGCGUGUGCUUAGCAUGUUCUUAGCGUGUGCUUGGCGUGUUGUUCAUGUGUGCAUUGGGGGCUGUGUGGUGUUCAUAGAGUGUGCUUAGAGGGUCCUUUGGUGUCUCCUUUGUGUGUUCUUAGCGUGUGCUUGGCAUGUUUUUGGAGUGACUUUGUGUGUUCUUAACGUGUGCUUAGCGUGUUCUUAGCGUGUGCUUGGCAUGUUUUGAGAGUGACUUUAUUGCACCCUUAAGACAUCUUUCGUGUGUUUUUAGAUCCUUUUGAUGUGUUUUUUGGCGUGCCCUUAGCGUGUUCUUAGCGUGUCUUUGGCA
rnacentral:lncRNA from 1 species